rnacentral:rRNA from 1 species
UGAAUACGAGAUGCUACGGCGUCGAAGCAGUCUAUGUCAUACUUCCAAGAAAAGCUCGCACUGUCAUAAACAAAUAAUGCCUGUACCAUAUAACCGACACAGGUGGGUAGGUAGAGUAUACUAAGGGGCGCGAGAUAACUCUCUCUAAGGAACUCGGCAAAAUGACUCCGUAACUUCGGGAGAAGGAGUGCCUUAUUUAUAAGGUUGCAAUAACAAGAUCCAAGCAACUGUUUAUCAAAAACACAGGUCUCCGCUAAGUCGUAAGACGAUGUAUGGGGGCUGACGCCUGCCCAGUGCCAGAAGGUUAAAGAAGUUGGUUAGCAUUCGCGAAGCUGAUAACUGAAGCCCUGGUGAACGGCGGCCGUAACGAUAACGGUCCUAAGGUAGCGAAAUUCCUUGUCGGGUAAGUUCCGACCCGCACGAAAGGCGUAAUGAUUUGGAUACUGUCUCGGAGAGGGGCUCGGUGAAAUAGACUUGUCUGUGAAGAUGCGGACUACCUGCACCAGGACAGAAAGACCCUAUGAAGCUUUACUGUAACUUGAGAUUGAAAUUGGACUUUACUUGCGCAGUAUAGGUGGGAGGCGUUGAUAAUAUUCUUGCGGGAUUAUUUGAGCCAUCAGUGAGAUACCACUCUUGUAAUGUUAGAUUUCUAACUUUGUAUCAUUAUCUGGUCAAAGGACAGUUUCAGGCGGGCAGUUUGACUGGGGCGGUCGCCUCCUAAACGGUAACGGAGGCGCACAAAGGUUUCCUCUGAACGGGUAGAAAUCGUAUCUAGAGUGUAAAGGCAUAAGGAAGCUUGACUGUGAGACCUACAAGUCGAGCAGGGACGAAAGUCGGUCUUAGUGAUCUGACGGUGCUGAGUGGAAAGGCCGUCACUCAACGGAUAAAAGUUACUCUAGGAUAACAGGCUGAUCUCCCCCAAGAGUUCACAUCGACGGGGAGGUUUGGCACCUCGAUGUCGGCUCAUCGCAUCCUGGGGCGGUAGUACGUCCCAAGGGUUGGGCUGUUCGCCCAUGAAAGCGGUACGCGAGCUGGGUUCAGAACGUCGUGAGACAGUUCGGUCCAUAUCCGGUGUAGGCGUUAGAAUAUUGAGAGGAGCCUUCUUUAGUACGAGAGGACCGAGAAGGACAUACCUCUGGUGUACCAGUUAUCGUGCCAACGGUAAACGCUGGGUAGCUAUGUAUGGAGUGGAUAACCGCUGAAAGCAUCUAAGUGGGAAGCCCACCUCAAGAUAAGUA